rnacentral:rRNA from 1 species
GUGGGGAAUAUUGGACAAUGGGGGGAACCCUGAUCCAGCCAUGCCGCGUGUGUGAAGAAGGCCUUUUGGUUGUAAAGCACUUUAAGCAGUGAAGAAGACCUAACGGUUAAUACCCGUUAGCGAUGACAUUAGCUGCAGAAUAAGCACCGGCUAACUCUGUGCCAGCAGCCGCGGUAAUACAGAGGGUGCAAGCGUUAAUCGGAAUUACUGGGCGUAAAGCGAGCGUAGGUGGCUUGAUAAGUCAGAUGUGAAAUCCCCGGGCUUAACCUGGGAACUGCAUCUGAAACUGUUAGGCUAGAAUAGGUGAGAGGAAGGUAGAAUUCCAGGUGUAGCGGUGAAAUGCGUAGAGAUCUGGAGGAAUACCGAUGGCGAAGGCAGCCUUCUGGCAUCAUAUUGACACUGAGGUUCGAAAGCGUGGGUAGCAAACAGG